UGUGUGUUGUGUGUGUGUGUGUGUGUGUGUGUGUGUGUGUGUGUGUGUGUGUGUGUGUGUGUGUGUGUAUAUAUAUAUACACACACACACACACACACACACACACACACACAUAUAUAUAGGUUCAUAGGUUCAUAGGUUCAUACUAGGCUAUCUGCCCUAGGGCAUUUAUAAGCCUAGCCAGAG